CUAAAUCCGUCAUAUGUAUUUCUUUUGGACAUCAAAUUUGGCAGAGUGUCCGCUGGUCUGAUUCGAGGACCCAAUGUACUGAAGUUUGCAGUCAGCCUUGAAAUUUGGAAUGGGCUUUGGGCUGCAAAUUAAUUGGGCCCGAGCUUCUGAGGUGAAUUGAUUUAGACACCCGUUGUGUUAAGCUUCUGAGGUUGGGCUUUGUGACUUGAGAUGGGCUUCACACUGCCAGGAAGUUCAAAUGGGCCCAAAUUUAUGUAGUGAAAGGGCUCAAGUAAACAAAAGGUGAUCUGGACAGCCAGGCUCUUUCCUUCGAGCUAAAAUCAAGCCCAGCUGUAUCAAAACAUUGAUUAUCACAUGUGCUUGAUCUCCAGCGUAGAGUCAGAUUUGGCAUCCAGUUCGACAGUUAGACGAUCGACUGGUGUGCGAAGUUGGCGUGACCCAUUUUGAUCUUGUAUAUAGCUUGUUGUCCUGUUUGCUAUCACACCACCGCUUCAAUUAAAAGCUUAAUUGUGUCUCCUCCACCGCUGCUUUUGUAUUCAUUUAGCAAAAGGACACCUCGAUCAUCUCUGUUGACAAAGAAAAUAUAGUCUCUGAGAUAAUAUCCGUAUGUGUCCGUAGCUUUGCUUUAAGUUUGUCUUUCCUUUCCUUUUUGUUUACAUGUUACAAAGAAGAAACAAAGACCAAAAAAACAAGGGUGAGGCUUCAAUCAUUUUGCUUGAUGUGAUUGGUACUUUGUAUGGUUUGCUUUGGAGGUGGUGGUUUAUGAUAGUCGAUGGGAGACAGAAGGCUGGGAGGCUCUUUAGUUGUGGCGGGUAUUUCUGUUUUUCAAAGAGGGUGAAUGUGGAGAGUGAUCGGAACUCGGCCAUUAGUGACACUAUGUUCGAAUGCUGGAAUUUGCAGCAGCCAGGAUUAUAUUAAGACGUCGGCCGUUCAUGAACGACCAUGUUAGUCUUAAUGUAGGAGGAGAUCCCAAUGGAGUUUGGACAUUCAUGAACUACCAUGGUUGUUUUCAAAAAGAUAUGAGUUGUUUAUGAACAGCCCUCCUUUUGUUUGAAGCAAGCUUUUUAGUUCUCUGUCAAAGAAGACAAGAAUAGCAUGACGUGGUGUAUACCUGGGCUUCUCCCCUGAGCUUGGCUUGUCAUCACUCUUUAUCUCGACAGAACUUCAACAAUUAAUUGUUGCUUCUUUUUUCACCCUCUGUUUCGGCAGAGCUUUAGCUUUUGCUUGCUGAUUUCUUCCUCCUCUUUGUGUAUCUUUUAUAUUUCUCCUCCCCUGAAUUAUUGUUAAAAGCCCCAUUUUAUAAGCAACAUAGAAGGAUAAGAGAUCAUGUUGGUUGAGUUCAAUUUGUUUUGAAAUUGAAAUGAUCUUCAGAUGACGAUAACCACCUCCACAUUCAAAUUUGUAUCUAUGGAGAUUAUCCACAACUUUCAAUAUGUUAUUUGAAAUGUGAAAGCCUGCAGCAUUUGAUGACUUCUUUGUCGCCAUACUGUUCCUCUUCCUUCUGGAGAU